rnacentral:rRNA from 1 species
AGUCACGAGUUUGAUCAUGGCUCGAGGAUGAACGCUAGCGGCAGGCUUAACACAUGCAAGUCGAGCGGGGUUUCGGACCUAGCGGCGGACGGGUGAGUAAUGCGUAGGAAGCUACCCGAUAGAGGGGAUACCAGUUGGAAACGACUGUUAAUACCUCAUAGUAUAGCAGUUUCGCAUGAAACCACUAUUAAAGUCACAACGGUGAAAGAUGAGCAUGCGUCCCAUUAGCUAGUUGGUAAGGUAACGGCUUACCAAGGCUACGAUGGGUAGGGGUCCUGAGAGGGAGAUCCCCCACACUGGUACUGAGACACGGACCAGACUCCUACGGGAGGCAGCAGUGAGGAAUAUUGGACAAUGGGCGCAAGCCUGAUCCAGCCAUGCCGCGUGCAGGAUGACGGUCCUAUGGAUUGUAAACUGCUUUUAUACAGGAAGAAACACUCCGACGUGUCGGAGCUUGACGGUACUGUAAGAAUAAGGAUCGGCUAACUCCGUG